UUUUUUUUUUUUUAAUUUUAAUUUUCACUAGGGAGGCAAAGGUUAGUACAGCAUGUAAGAAGUCAGGGUAGGACAUAAAGAACUUCAUGUCCUAACAAGAAAAGCAUGCUCUUCUCUGAAAACACUUAAGAUGUCUAUGCUCCAGGAGAGGGUUAAUCUCUGCAUGGAUGCUUUCCCAGCAAAGACAGAGACAAUAACGUCUCAAGGUUUUUUUGUGGAGUUCCGAGAUUCUCCUCCAAUGCAUCACAUUUUCGCUCCCCCAUCCCCGUGGGGGAAAAUAAAGAUAUGGAAUAAAGCACUUUUACAACUUUGAUUAACUUUACACAGAAGGACGAGAUCAUGUAUUUGGAAGGUGAACUUGGGAUUUGUAAAAUGAUGAGUAUAUUUAGUAGCGCCAUAAAGAAUAAUGACCCUGCUAUGGAAAAUGGUUAAGGGAUGGCAUAAUGUCUCCAACUCUUCAUUUUCUGGGAAAAAAGGCUUAAUAAUGAUUAUUAUAUUUUAUAAUGGGAUUUAGUGGCUGCCUAACUGUGUUUUGAUUUUCCAGGAUUAGCGCUCAGUGCCAUAAUUGUGAUUCCUUCUGAUUGCAGACGGCACUGCGGUUACACAGCCACUUGAUUCCUCCUGAGUGCCAGCCUCUGCAUUCUUUUCGGGCUGAUUUGAAGGUAAUGAAGCAAUCUAUAUUUAGGUAUUUUGCAGAGGUUCUUUAUUUUUGGCUAAAUGUUAAGUAUACAUUUUCCUGUAGUAAAUGCUGCUAGCAGCAAAGGAGUAAAAUGGAUUUUCUGGAGGAACUAUUUGAAACCUGACUUUAUUUUAGCCAGUGUCAUCUCAUCUCCACUGCCUGACUCACUUUCGAUGCUGAUGAAGGAUAAAUUGAGAGAUGGACUGUAUUUGUUAUAUCUAUUCAAAUGCCGUCAAAUAUUUGAUGCAGAGUAGAGUAAAUAUCUUAGCGGAUUCCCCAUUGACAUUUUACGCUGUAGAAAUUUCUGCACAAAUAAAAGCCACAUUGGAAGCAAACGGGCAACCCAAAACCUUAACACACUAAAUGGGUGGCCCUCAUUUGGCUGGUAUAUGGGGCCAUAUUGAAGGCAUACUUGUAUAAACCAAAUCCCUGGCUCUAAUCUAUGUCCGUAAUGGAGUUCUCUCCAUUACAUUCUCACCUAGUUUCUGUGUUUGGUUUGUUCAUUGUUCUGUUGGUUUACUGAUACCUUGUCUCCAUAUAUUUUAUGUGUCUUCCUAAGCCAUCCUAAAAACUCUGUGGAAAAAGACAGAGGAUGGAAAGAAGGAUAGAAGGAUGGAUGGAUGGACGGAUAGAUGGGAUGGAUGAGUGGAUGAAUGUACGAAUGCAAAGAGAUAGAUGAAUGUAUGGAGAUAUGUAUGAAUGAAUGGAUACGUGCGUGGAUAAAGGUACGGAGGAAUGAAUGGACAAAAAUACCUGAAAGAACACAUACUUAUGUCAGCAAACCUUUUGAUUAAAUGCUGUGUUCUACUGCGUGAUCAUUUGUCCAGUCCUUUUUUUCCUCUCCCUCACCAUUAACGUUACAUUACUUUGGGUCUUUAUUCCUCAGCUCUUAAAUCAACUCUCAUUCUUCAACUGUCCUUUCUCUGAGAAACUUUUCUUUCUCAUGCCCUUCUCUCUCCUUCCAGAAUUUAGACACCCCCUUUUUUCUAUGCCUAAAUCAUCAAGAAUAUAACUGUCUUAUAGCACAUACCAUACCCUUGGUGAUCUGUCUCCUUUAACAAACAGCAUAUUCUUCGAGGCUCUUGCUUUUGUCUUAUUUUGGCAUGUCCAGGGCUGGACAUGGUGUUCUGCACAAUGCAAUAAUAGAAUAUGAGCAUUUACUGAGUUCCCACUGUCUUCUAAGUGUUUCAUAGAUAUUUCAUGUGUAUUGUGUCAUUUAAUCUCCAAAAGAAUUAUAAGUGGGAGGUCUUACUGUGGUUCUAAUUUUACAGUUAAGAGAGCUAAGGUUCAGAGGGAUUUGAUGACUUGCCUACGAUCACAAAGCUAUUAAGUAGUCGGAUAGAUAUAGAUUCUGAUUUUCUAACUCUACUUUCUUCCUGGGGUCAAAACCGUUCCAUGUUGGGUGAAAAUUGGUUCCUGGGAGAUGAAAUAAAAUCUUACUCAUUUUAUGAAUAGAGACCAGAAAUACAGUACAGACAAGCUGUAUAUUUGUUAAACUUUCCAUAGGGGGAUGGAUUGAAAAACAAUGUGUGAAAAAGUGGCUUAGUGAGCAAUAAUGGACAAAAUUGAGAAACACCAGGCAACUUCCAACAGCUAUAGCUUAUGGCCUCUUAUUAGAGUAUGAGCAAAUGGGUAAAUGGCUGCACAAGGGAACACAACUUUAGGAGUCUGUUCCCCUUCUUAGGAAGCAAACUCAGAUGGUCCCAAACGACCCCCACCUCCUGGUCUAUGCUCCUAUUUCAUCCCUUCCGUUGAGUAUGGACUGCUCUCGUGACUUGAUUCUAACCAAUGCAAUAAAGCAAAGAUGAUGGGAAGUCACUUCCAUGAUUAGGUUACCUAACACUCUUGACUUUUAUCUUUCUAAGCAGACUCUCUCUUGUUGGCUUUGGAUGAAAUAAGCUGCCAUAUGGAGAGGUCUGCAAGACAAGAAACAGAGGGGUGGAUCCAGGCAAUGAUCAGCAAGGGACUGAAACUUUCUCUCCAAUAAUCUGCAAGGAACUGAAUCCUGCUAACGAUCACAUCAGUUUGGAAGCAAAUUGUUCUCCAUUCAAGCCUUGGGAUGAAAACUACAUCCUGGCUGAUGUGCUGAUUGUAACCUUCUGAGACCCUGAAGCAGAAAACCCAGCUGAGCCACACCUAGAGUCCUGACCUAGAGGACCCAUGCGAUGAUCAAUGUCUGUUGUUGCAGCUGACUAUCUUGUGGUAAUGUUACACAGCAAUAGAUAACUAGCACAAGUUUAAAAUCCUUGGCUUGGGGGUGGGGAGGAAGGAGACAGAGAAGCAAACCAAGAAACAGACUCUAGAAAAUAAACUGAUGGUUAUCAGAGGGGAGGUGCGUGGGGGAUGGGUUAAAUAGGUGAUAGGAUUCAGGAGGACAUUUGUUGUGAUGAGCAGUGAGUGAAGCAUGGAAGUGUUGAAUCACUCACUAUAUGGUGCAUCUGAAACUAAUAUUACACUGUAUAUUAACUGGGAUUUGCAUAAAAACUUAAAAAAUAAAUAAAAUAUUUGACUUGGAACCAUGAAAAAGUUAGACGCAAGACACCUACGUAAACUGAAAGCAGAUUCUGUUGGUCAUAUCGCACGACAACAGCUCCAUGGAUUUGAGUCAGAUUUGAAAAUUACAUUUGCAGAUGAUUUGACUUACAAGUGUAUGGUGAGCACAAAGUUUCCUUGUUGCAAACCUGGAGCAGAGCAUUUUAGAAUCAUCCUCCAGAAUGAGGGUUGAGUUGCUUGGUGUGUACACAGAUAUAUUUACAACUCCAUGAUAGAUUUAUUUAUUUAAUGAUGGUUAGUCUGCUACCUAAAAUGGUGCAUUAUCUGGGUGACCACUAUCCUUGGUUGGAUGCUGGUUUUAUCUCUCUGCUUAGGAAUUAGUCAACAUAAGGACAUACGAUACAUAGCCACCAUGGGUAUAAAAUGUUUUGUAACCACAUAGGAAACAACAAAAGAAUUUUCCAAGGAGAACAGCUCAGGUUCAGUCUGGUGUAAAAUGAGAGAUGAAGCUGGAGGGUGGAGGUGGAGGACGAGAUUGGAUUUUACUGUGGCUAGGGAACAGAACCAGAGUGAGGGUUUCUAUAUGUACAAGUUAGGAUUUUUGUGGCUUGAACUUCACUCACCACUUUCAAGGGAAGUAGCUCAUAGUCUUUUUUUUUUUUUUAAUCAACUUGUCCAUCUGUGGGACAAAAAGAAAAGGGAGGAGGGAAGUAGGUUAAAAGCUGUCAGUGGUCAACUAUUAAAAAUGGCACUGGAUUUCCAAAUAGCCAAAGAAAUCCCGAGAAAGGAGAACAAAGCUGAAGGUAUCACAAUCCCAGAUUUCAAGCUAUACUACAGAGCUGUAGUAAUCAAAACAGUAAGGCACUGGCACAAAACAAACAACAGAUCAAUGGGACAGAAUAGAAAAGCCAGAAAUCAACCAUGGUUAUAUGGGCCAGUUAAUCUAUGACAAAGGAGGCAAGAAUACACAAUGGGAAGAAGUCAAUGUCUUUAACAAAUGGUGUUGGCAAAACUGGUCAGCUAUGUGCAAAAGAAUGAAACUGGACGACUUUCUUACACCACACACAAAAAUAAACUCAAAAUGGAUGAAAGAUCUAAAUGUGAGACCUGAAACCAUAAAAGUCCUAGGAGAGAGCACACGCAAUAAUGUCUCUGAUAUUGGCUGUAGCAACUUUUUGUCUCCUGAGGCAAGGGAAGCAAAAGGAAAAACAAUAACAACAAAAAAAAAAAAAAAACUAUGGGGACUGCAACAAAAUAAAAAGGUUUUGCACGGCAAAGGAAACAAUCAACAAGACUAAAAGAUAACCUAUUUAGUGAGAGAAGAUAUUUGCAAAUGAUAUCUCCAAUAAGGGGUUAAUAGCCAAAGUACAUAAAGAACUUCUACAACUCAACUCCAGAAAAAUAAACGAUUCAAUUGAAAAAUGGGCAGAGGACCUGAAUAGACAUUUUUUCCAAAGAAGGGAGACAGAUGGCAAACAAACAUAAGAAAGAAUGAACGUGUUGGUGAGAAAAAGGAAUCCUUGUGCACUGUUAGUGGGAAUGAAAACUGGUGCGGCCACUGUGGAAGACAGUAUGGAGGUUCUCUGAAAAGUUAAAAAUACAAUUACCAUAAGAUCCAGUAAUUUCACCACUGGGAAUUUACCCAGAGAAAAUAGAAAUAUUACAUUGAAAAGGCACAUGCACCCUUAUGUUUAUUGCAGCAUUAUUUAUAACGGCCAAGAUGUGGAAGUAACCCAAGUGUCCAUGGCUUGAGAAACAGAUAAGGAAAUGGUAGGGUAUGUGUGUUUAUCUAUCUGUAGAUCUAUAUCUAUCUAUUGAUAUAGAUCUAUCUAUAUCUAUUGAUCUAUGAGAUAGAUAUAGAGAUCGGUAGAUAAAGAGAUACAGAGAUCGGUAUCUAUGGACAUAGGUCUAUAGAUAGAUACAUGGAAUGAUAGGUAGAUAUAGACAGAUA
rnacentral:lncRNA from 1 species